UACGGGGGGGGCAAGCGUUGUUCGGAAUUACUGGGCGUAAAGGGCUCGUAGGCGGCCAACUAAGUCAGACGUGAAAUCCCUCGGCUUAACCGGGGAACUGCGUCUGAUACUGGAUGGCUUGAGUUUGGGAGAGGGAUGCGGAAUUCCAGGUGUAGCUGUGAAAUGCGUAGAUAUCUGGAGGAACACCGGUGGCGAAGGCGGCAUCCUGGACCAACACUGACGCUGAGUGAGCGAAAGCCAGGGGAGCAAACGGG
rnacentral:rRNA from 1 species